CAAUAGCGUAUAUUAAAGUUGUUGCGGUUAAAAAGCUCGUAGUUGGAUUUCUGCCGAGGACGACCGGUCUGCCCACUGGGUGUGUAUCUGGCUCGGCCUGGGCAUCUUCUUGGAGAACGUAUCUGCACUUGACUGUGUGGUGCGGUAUCCAGGACUUUUACUUUGAGGAAAUUAGAGUGUUUCAAGCAGGCACACGCCUUGAAUACAUUAGCAUGGAAUAAUAAGAUAGGACCUCGGUUCUAUUUUGUUGGUUUCUAGAACUGUGGUAAUGAUUAAUAGGGAUAGUUGGGGGCAUUCGUAUUUAACUGUCAGAGGUGAAAUUCUUGGAUUUGUUAAAGACGGACUACUGCGAAGGCAUUUGCCAAGGAUGUUUUCAUUGA
rnacentral:rRNA from 1 species